AUUGAACGCUGGCGGCAUGCCUUACACAUGCAAGUCGAACGGCAGCACGGGUGCUUGCACCUGGUGGCGAGUGGCGAACGGGUGAGUAAUACAUCGGAACGUACCUUAUCGUGGGGGAUAACGCAGCGAAAGCUGUGCUAAUACCGCAUACGCCCUGAGGGGGAAAGCGGGGGAUCGCAAGACCUCGCGCGAUUAGAGCGGCCGAUGCCUGAUUAGCUUGUUGGUGGGGUAAAAGCCCACCAAGGCGACGGUCAGUAGCUGGUCUGAGAGGACGAUCAGCCACACUGGGACUGAGACACGGCCCAGACUCCUACGGGAGGCAGCAGUGGGGAAUUUUGGACAAUGGGGGCAACCCUGAUCCAGCAAUGCCGCGUGAGUGAAGAGGGCCUUCGGGUUGUAAAGCUCUUUUGUCAGGGAAGAAACACCGGCUCUAACACAGUCCGGGAAUGACGGUACCUGGAGAAUAAGCACCGGCUAACUACGUGCCAGCCGCCGCAGUAA
rnacentral:rRNA from 1 species